rnacentral:rRNA from 1 species
UACGUAGUUAGCCGUGGCUUCCUCCUUAGCUACCGUCAUUAUCGUCACUAAGGACAGAGGUUUACAAUCCGAAAACCGUCUUCCCUCACGCGGCGUUGCUGCAUCAGGGUUUCCCCCAUUGUGCAAUAUCCCCCACUGCUGCCUCCCGUAGGAGUCUGGGCCGUGUCUCAGUCCCAAUGUGGCCGAUCAACCUCUCAGUUCGGCUACCGAUCGUCGCCUUGGUAGGCCGUUACCCCACCAACUAGCUAAUCGGACGCGAGCCCAUCUAAAAGCGGAUUGCUCCUUUGAUCUCAGAACCAUGCAGUUCCGAGAUGUUAUGCGGUAUUAGCGACCGUUUCCAGUCGUUAUCCCCUCUUCUAGGCAGGUUGCUCACGCGUUACUCACCCGUCCGCCACUAAGUUUGCUCCCGAAGGAACAACUCCGUUCGACUUGCAUGUGUUAGGCACGCCGCCAGCGUGUCCUGUGCCACGGAGUCAACUACC